UUCUCUACAAAAAAAUUACACAAAUAUUACAUUCUUUUAUUUUAUUCUCUCCCUCCCUCUCUCUCUCCGAGUAUGUGUGUGUGUGUGUGUGUGUGUGUCUGUCUGUCUGUCUGUCUGUCUGUCUGUCUGUCUGUGAGUUUGUGUUCCAGGUGCUUGCAUGUGCUUAAGGAGGCCAAGGGGCCCCUGAUUCCCUUGUAUUGGAGUUAUAGUCAGUUAUGAGCCAUCUGAUGGGGGCUCCAGGAACUGAACCCAGGUCCUCUGCAACGUUAGUAAGCAUUCAUAACAACUGAACAAUCUCUCAUCCCCAAAGUGUUUUUUAUGGUCAAUCAAUAUCCAGUAAUAAUUUAGAGUAAUGAAUGUGAUCCCCAUACAUAUCAACACUGUGAAUGACUGACUGACCCCUAAGGAGCGUAGAAAUCCAUUCCUCUUUUUGUAUGAGAAUUGGCACUAAUGUAUGUAUGGCGAUGGUAAGAACUUUACUACUGACUUUGAAAUUAUUUUUACUUAAGACUAGGUGUUGUGUAACAGAUUUCUGGAGAUUGAAACAUUCCAACCUGCAGAGAAACUCCUUAAGCAAGAAGGUAAAAAACUCAAAAAUAGCUUUCAGGAAGUCCCUGAAAUUGACUAGAUUCACUAGGCUCCUCCCUGCCAGUGUAAGUAGUAAACACUGCAAGGAAGACUCUCAGACAAGCAAUGCCUCAAAGAAGACCCUCAGACCAGACCAGUUGCCUGGAAGAGGUUUAGAUCAAUUGAUGGACAUGGGAGAAGAGACUCGUGACCCUGCUGAGCUGCCUGCAGGCCGUGCAAUGUGCUCUGGGCUCCCAGCUUUGUGAGCUGAACCCAUGGGGGGGGGGUGUCCAUUGGUGAUGCAACUGUCUUUGAGUCACUUCUGCUCCUGUGAGUAGCCCCAGUGAAACUCAUUGGUUCACUGUUGGACUCUGGCACUUUCUUCUACUGUGGGUUUUCCAUCUGGGGUGAGUAGACAUGUUUCCUACCUCUCCAGGACAAGUUCUGUCGCACAACAGUAGGUCAUUUAGGUAUUGGGCCCGCAAAUUAUUUUUCUUUUCUUUUUUUCUUUUUCUUUCCUUUCCUUUCUUUCCUUUUUUUUUUUUAACAAAAUUAUUUAUUUGUAUUAUGUGCAUGAGUAUUUUGCCUGCAUGUAUGUCUGUGCACUGCAUCCAUGCUUGCAAAGGCCAAAAGGGUGCAUUAGAUCCCCAAGAGCUGGAAUUACAGAUGUUUGUAAGCAGCCAUCAUGUGGGUGCCAGGAGCUAUGCUUGAGUCCUCUGGAGAAACAGCCAGUGCUCACAACCUCUGAUCCAUCUCCCCGCCUGCUGCAAAUUCUUGUGUACCAAAAAGUUUUUUUAUCAGUGACUAAACACUCUGAGUAACAGUAUACUGUUGAGGCUUGUGGCAUUGUCAGGCACGACUUUAAGUGCGCUAACUAAUUUAGUCCUUACAAACAUUGAUGAAGUCAGUACUAUUACCCCCAGUUAUAUGCCUAUAAAAUAGCAGGCUGUUAUGUAGCCCAAAGCCUUUGUGGACAUUAUUAAAAUAAAUUAAUUACAGGUAGUGGCAGCAAGGAGAUGUUUAAGAAUCUGACCUCUACCAUCAGAUUAAACAGGGUUUAAAUGCUAGGAACCUGACCUCUACCAUCAGACUAAACAGGGUUUAAAUGUCCGCUCCAGCAGUGGGCAACUUAUUUACCUUCAGAUUCUAUUUUCUUUAUCUUUGCAUGACAAAACCCACUAAUACCCCGUCACAUGGGACCACUGGGUAUUAAGUGAUGUAACAGGAGAUCUUCACCAUCAACCCGACUGCAGUAGGAGCCACCCUGCAUAUGCUGGGAGAGGGUGGCAUUUCCAGAAAGGGCUGAGGAAGGAGGGAAGGUCAGUCCUGAAUGUAGCAGGCACUGUUCCAUGGGCAGGGGCCGGGGCCGUCUAAGGAGGAGGGAGCGAGCUGAGCUGCCAUGUUCAUCUCCACCUCCUCCAGUUCCUGCAGCCAUGAUGUGACUACCAUGUCGGACUGUGCCCUCAGCCAAUAGACCAAAACCAACCUUUCUUUCCUUGGGUUGCCUCUGUGAGGUGUUGUCACGGCAGGAAGAGACGGAAUGUGGUGACUUCUCAGCAGUGUGUGCCAGGUGGGGCUGAUAAAUGUUUAUUAUUUAUUCAUUCACAUGGAAUGUUAAACCCUGGUCCAUAACUCUCAAAGUCUGCAUAGUUUGAUGAUUAAGCCAUGCUUGGUUUAUUAAGUAAACGCGAGUAGCUACAACACACCUAUAGGUUCCUAUGUUUCAGUUUGCUAAGGGCACUUCCUCAUGUUUCUGUUUAUAACGCCAUCUUAUUUUCUGUAUUCUUUUAGAAAUGGUUACAUUUUAGUAUAUGUAUAUAUGUAUGUGUGUGCCUAUGUACGUGUGCAUGCGCAUACCUGUGCAUGCCAUUGCACAUGUGUGGAGCUCAGACACUAUCUUGCAGGAGUUGGUCCUCUCCUUCCAGCAGACGGGUUUCAGGGAACAAACUGGAGGCAUGGAUGCUAGCAUUCUGUCUAAGCUCCACCCCCACAGUUACCUGGCAACCUAGGUAUGACUGACACUAUAAAGGAGCCUGCUAGCCUCCUCCCCUCCCCCUCCCCCUCUCUGUCCCCUCUCUCCCUCUAUUCCCUUCCCCACUUCUCACCACCUGCCCACGGCCAGCCUGUACUCUUCUCUCUCUCUCUCUCUCUCUCUCUCUCUCUCUCUCUCUCUCUCUCUCUUUCUCUUUCCCCCUGUGCCCCUACUACUCUCUUCAGUCCCCUCCCCAUUCCCUGAAUAAACUCUAUUCUAUACUAUAGGUCCUGUGGCUGGUCCCUCAGUGGGAAAGAAUACCUCAGCAUGGGCCUGCUGCUGUACCCCCUUCUCCCAGACCCCCAUAGAACAUAAUCCCCCCCUCUUUAUCCUUUUAUUAACACAACAUUGGUGCCCAAACCGGGGAUGAAUCCUCCCUUUAUCUUUUAUAAACACCUCCAUGGGGAUUGGCUGCAAGUACCCACUGGGCCAUUCCACUGGCCCUCGUUUUCUGCAUUCUUGAUGUUCUGGAAUCUAGAACUUCGCUAAUCCUUCGGGGAAUACUCGCUCAGAACUAGCUGGCUCCAAGAGAAAGAACAAACACUUGCCAGACAACACCUCCUUCAAAUGCCAGACAGCUAGCCAGCUCUGAGAGCACGUCCUCGGUUGCCUUUUAUUUUCUCUGAUUUUUUGAGGCAAGGUCUGGCUAUGUUGCUGGGACUGGUCUCAGACUCCCUGGCUCAGCUAAUCCUUCUACCUUAGCCUCACAAGUGUCUUUGGGCACGUGCCACCAUGCCUGGUGUCAAUCUGUUCUUUCUGUGGUUGUUGUUUUGUUUUUUUCAUAUAAGGCUCCCUGCCCUAGUCAUCCUAGAACCCAGGACCACGCAGAACCCAGCUAAAUGAUUCAACUGGCCAAUCAUAAGCCUGCCCACUACUGCCUUGCGUGUCCAUUCCCACAAGGAAGCACAGCAGAGGCUGUGUCAGGGAUUUUCUUGAGGCUUUUGAUCCUGACCUAUUCAGGUGCUUCCUUUGUGGCCCCAUGUGCCGAGGUGCGGCCCUUCCUCAGGAGAAUGGUAACUUCGGUGGCAAUCACGUCCCGAUCACACUAGUAUUAAAGCAAACAAAGCCUCCCGAGCCAGCUUCAGAACACGGUGGCCUCAUUUUGCAUGUUAGAAGCAGCCGGUUGAAAAGUCACUUUGCGUAACAAUGAAGUCAAACACUAUGAAACCCAAGGAGAAUAACAAUAGGUCUGCAGCUAGGUCCCUUCUUAUUGGUACAACUGUCAACCUCUCCCUCCCCCUCAUCUUCCCUUGCUAUUUCACUGGAAAGGUUAACACAUGGGCGUUAGGCCUGCCAUCAGAAAGAGGAAGCUGUUCUGUGGCCUGCAUUUUGCACUGAACAAUCAAAGCAAUUGUGAUUCUCUACACAGACAGAAAGCCCUCUAGCUAUUGAGGCAGAAAGGAACUUAACCUGGGAAAUUAAGCACUUUGCAAACUUUCUGAGGAGGAGGAGGCCUUAGGCUGGCCAACCAGGAAUGACUCCCUGAACAACACUGCAAAACUGGUCUGCCAAGGCUUUCUCUGCUGCAAUCCAGAAACUGGGGAAUCUAGAUUCCAACUGUUGGCCCAAGUAUCAUAUUACUCUGAGACUCAGAGGCACAAUGACAACUGCUGGCACCAGGAAUCAGGCUCCCUAGCAACGACGGGAGGAUGAGAAACCGAAGCCAGAGCAAUGGCUCCAGUGUUAUGACACACAUUCUAGGUCCACUUAAAUAAGCUUUAGGUUUAUUUAUUUAUUGCUCUCCAUUUACUAUAGCGCUGAGCUCAAACACAUGUUACCCUUGCUGCUUUAGCUUCUAGCUCCUGGGCCACUGUAACUUGCAUCAUGAGAAAGAGGAAGAAGCUAUGUCAAAGAAGACACUUUAGUGUAUUUACCACCAAAGUAUGCUGCAGAUCUGUUCACUGGCGAGUCUAGAUUUUUUCCCCUUUUAGUUGUAGGAACCUUGGGUUUAAUGAAUUCACUUGCUAUUUCACAGCCAGCUAUCUACCCAGUGGCACUGAUGUCCCUAAUUUGUAGACUAAGUUAUUUGUCACCUCUUUAUCUUACCCCUCGGCUCUGUUAGAACCUACGUAUCAUUCUGGAUUCCUCUUUGCAGCUUGCAGGAAGACUACUCUUGCAAGCCUCCUUGGGAGACUAGAUUGCAACCAACGAGAGAGGAGUGAGCGUGCCGUAUCUGUUUCUGGUACUCAGUCCUCAGGUGUCCUGGGCAGUGUCCACACAGAUCCCUGACUCCCAUGGAAUUCUGAGGUACAGUGUUCUAAAUUCUGAUGUAGCAAAGUGUCCAGGCCACAGUCACUGCCUGGGAAAGAGCCGCCCAAGGGAGCUGCAGGACAUGGAUCAAAAAGUGAAGGAGCUUGAAGGAGGAAGAGGAGGCAGAUGUUCUGCGUACAGGUAUCUGUGCGCCACUUGUUUGCCUGCUGCCUAUGGAAGACAGAAGAAGGGGUCAGAUCCCGUGAAACUGGAGAUGGCUGUGAGCCUCCAUGGGCAAUGCUAGGAACCCAGGUCCUCUGAAAGAUCAGCCAGUGUUCCAGACCACUGAGCCACCUCUCCAGUCUCAAUCAGUUGAGGAACGAGCUGCAGCAACGGAUGCACGACAGACGACUGGGAGGACAUGAACACACAUGAUGAGCACAGGGGCUCCACAGCACCGGGCAUUAAGAUGGCUUCCUGUCUGUCUGUCUGUUCGCCUGUCUGUUUCUUACCCACUAUUCUCACCCCAGGUCAAAGGACAAGAAGAGAAAUGAAAGACAUUAUCUAGGAUAGCCCAUCUCCAGUCCUUUAAAGAACAGUAGUGAAUAAACCAAGGGAUGGGACAGAUUGCUAGUCUCACGCCGAGCGGCGGCCCGUUAUUUGGAGAAGCACUUUGCUGAAGGCCUCGGAUCUGUUACAACUGCAACAGGUGCAGCCCCAGGUUGCCUCUCUAGGAGGCAAAAAAGCCAUCUGUCGACGUCUACACUUACUCAAAAUAAUCCGGUCCAGAUCAAGGCAACUUGCAAGUAUCAGUUUUCCCUUACAAACAUUGUUAUCUGGAUGCUUCUAGCACAUAUACCUGGAAAUCCCCUUCAUACAUUAAAUAUUUAAAAUGGAACAGGGGCAAGACAGCAGAAGACACAGUGAUGACAAUGUGCUUUGGUAGUGGAGGAGGUAAUGAAGCCGCACUUUCUAAAAAUGAGACGCCACGUGGGAGAAAACGAAGGCACACCUGAGACACAGCCGCCUGACAGCUGCACUCUCAUAAGGUUUAGGUUGAGUUGAGCCUCCUCACUGAUAUUAAAUUGAUUUAACAGAUGGGUGACUUUUAGCCCUAGAUAGUGGUUAUCUGCUCAUAAAUGCAACUCGUGUUUGGUGUGUAGCUAAUCUCAGUUAAAGGUUUCAUCUGGUCACGUGUAAGAUUACUCCACGAGGCACACACGUAAAGUGGGGUUUAAAUUUACAUUUCCCCUUCCGCGUACAUGUCCAAACCACACUUUCAAUUUCACCCUCUAAACUGCACAUAGUACAUCGCAAGCUAAAAAGAAAUAUUGUGGACAAAUCGUUUCUCUCCUUAUUAAUUUUUCCCAGUGCAGAAGAUCAAACCCGGGGCCUUGCUUAUGCUGGGUGAGGGCUCUGCUUUUACACCACAGCCCUAGGCAGUUUGUGUGUUUUAAAUCCAUGCAAAAAAAAACCUAAAAAAACCCCAAAAAGGACAUGCAUGGCACGUACUCACUUAUAAGUGGAUAUUAGCCAUAAAAUACAGGACAACCAUGCUAUACUCCACAGACUCAGAGAAGCUAAACAAGAAGGGAGGUCCAAGCAAGGAUGCUGAGUCUCACUUAGAAGGGGGAACAAAAUGGUUGUAGGAGGAAAAUGGAGGAAGGGAACUAGGAGGGAGAGAGUAUG